GGCCAUAGCUCAAUGGUAGAGCAUCUGUCUUCCAAACAGAAGGUUCUGGGUUCUGUCCCCAGUAGGGCUA